CAUCACUACGCUAGAUGCAUAUCAAUAAGCGGAGGAAAAGAAACUAACAAGGAUUCCCUUAGUAACGGCGAGUGAAGCGGGAAGAGCUCAAAUUUGAAAUCUUCAAGGUUCUACCUUGACGAAUUGUAGUUUAUAGAAGUGUUUUCUGUUAGUAGAGUGGCAAAAGUUCUUUGGAAUAGGACAUCAUAGAGGGUGAGAAUCCCGUAUUUGGUCAUUCUUUCUAGCUUUGUGAUACACUUUCAACGAGUCGGAUUGUUUGGGAAUGCAGUCCAAAAUGGGUGGUAAAUUUCAUCUAAAGCUAAAUAUUGGCGAGAGACCGAUAGCGAACAAGUACCGUGAGGGAAAGAUGAAAAGAACUUUGAAAAGAGAGUUAAACAGUACGUGAAAUUGUCAAAAGGGAAGCGUUUGACACCAGUGUUGUUUAGUUGAAAAUCAAUUCAAUAAUUUUUGAUUUUAAGUAGUAUUGACUUCAUCAGCUUGCUGCUUUCUUUUCAGGAAUUAUUGAAUGCACUUUUCAGUUAACAAGUCAACAUCAAUUUCUUUUGUUGUAAAAGGGUAAGAGGAAGGUGGCUUACGCUUCGGCGUAAGUGUUUAUAGCCUUUUACCUCUGCAAUCGGAGAGAUUGAGGACAGCAGCGUAGACUCCUUCUGGGGUUAGAUACACUUGUGCUAAGCUAUAGCCUUGUAUAGACAACUUGUUGACUAUGCUCAGUCAUGUAGGCUUACUCGCUUGUGCUAUUUUACCUACGCUUAGGAUGUUGACACACGCGCGUGCUCG
rnacentral:rRNA from 1 species